rnacentral:rRNA from 1 species
GACGAACCGUGCGAACGUUGUUCGGAUUCACUGGGCUUAAAGGGCGCGUAGGCGGUACGCCAAGUCUGGGGUGAAAUCUUUCGGCUCAACCGGAAAUUGCCUGGGAUACUGGCGUGCUCGAGGGAGGUAGGGGCAGCGGGAACUGCCAGUGGAGCGGUGAAAUGCGUUGAUAUUGGCAGGAACGCCGGUGGCGAAAGCGCGUUGCUGGACCUCUUCUGACGCUGAUGCGCGAAAGCUAGGGGAGCAAACGGG